rnacentral:lncRNA from 1 species
GAAAGACAUUUUCUCAAUUAGUGACCAAGUGGGGGAAGACCCAGCCCAUUGUGGGAGGUGCCAUCCCUGAAAUGGUGGUCCUGGGUUCUAUGAAAAAGCAGACUGAGCAAGCCAUGGGAAGCAAGCCAUAAGCAGGAUUCCUCCAUGGCUUCUGUAUCAGCUCCUGCCUCCAGGUACCAGCCCUGCUGUUCUUAUCCUGACUUCCACCAAUGAUGGAUUUUGAUGUGGAAGGGUUGUGCUAUCCCAGAGGUGAACCAUGGUCUAAGUAACUGCGAGGAGAUACCAUGAACCCCUGAGUACAUGAUGAAGAAGCAAGAAGAGAAAGAAGCCAAUACAAGAAGCAUUAGUGAUCAGGCUACCUCUGGGCACAGUAUUUAGUAAGCUACUGCUACCUGCCUGGUCUGCUGUGUUUCCCAGUGGCCUUAGGUGACCCUUGUGAAAGGGUCAGCCCCCAGGGGGUCAUGUCCCACAAGGAAUCGAUGAGAAGAAAAGAUUGGCAGAGCUCAGUGGAUUUCUCCUCUGAUAUCUGGCUGUUUGCAUCUUUAUUAUCCACUGGAAUCCUCUGCAUCUUGGGCUGCUUUAAAGAUGUCACUGGUAUCUAAAGAAGAGGCCAAGGAAGCUGCUGAACGCCCUGCGGUGCACAGGGCAGCCCCACCACAAGGUUGCUCAACUUAAUGCCAGCUGCUUCAAGGUUGAGAAAUUCAGCUUCGUUCUUCACCCAGAACUCAUCUGAGCUGUGACUCUCCUUACGUCAUAGAUGAUAAUUCCAGAAGCACGUAUAUGUUGAUAUUUCACAUUUAAAAAUGCAAACAUGAACCAGUAAGAGACAUUUCCCAUCUCUGUGUAGCAUCUCUGUACAUCAUCAGUGAGUCAUGGGUUAUAAGAGGCAUGCCUUUGGCUGUUAGGAUCCCUUCUGCUCAAUUCAUUUCCUGUCCACCAUGAGAUAAGUAGCUCCUGUCACAUGCUCUGCCUGCUGUGACACUCUGCUGUACUGUUUACCCAGAAUCAAUGAAGCAGGACUACAGACCGAUUUCUCUGAUGCUGUGAGCCAAAAUAAACCAU